AUUGAACGCUGGCGGCAUGCUUUACACAUGCAAGUCGAACGGCAGCGGGGUAGUGCUUGCACUACUGCCGGCGAGUGGCGAACGGGUGAGUAAUAUAUCGGAACGUACCGAGUAAUGGGGGAUAACCAAUCGAAAGAUUGGCUAAUACCGCAUACGUCCUGAGGGAGAAAGCGGGGGAUCGCAAGACCUCGCGUUAUUCGAGCGGCCGAUAACUGAUUAGCUAGUUGGUGGGGUAAAGGCCUACCAAGGCGACGAUCAGUAGCGGGUCUGAGAGGACGAUCCGCCACACUGGGACUGAGACACGGCCCAGACUCCUACGGGAGGCAGCAGUGGGGAAUUUUGGACAAUAGGGGCAACCCUGAUCCAGCCAUGCCGCGUGUAUGAAGAAGGCCUUCGGGUUGUAAAGUACUUUUGUUAGGGAAGAAAAGGGAAGUGCUAAUACCACUUUUUGCUGACGGUACCUAAAGAAUAAGCACCGGCUAACUACGUG
rnacentral:rRNA from 1 species